ACUGUUCAAGUUAAAAGAUGUGAAGCAGCUGCAGGCUAACACUGUAUAAACUGCUACAAUCAGCUUUCUUGUUUGAUUCUUCAGAACCUCCUUCUCAUGGCUGCUCUGCCCCAAAUAUGUGCCACAGAGAGAGAGAAAGGAAGAGCUGGUAAAUCAAUCUCCAGAAGUAAUUAAAAGCCGGAAAAAAAGAAACCAUUUCACAGUUCAUGAUGGAGACCUUGAAAACUAGCAGUCAAUUUUGAUUCUGUUUAGCCAAUUAUCAUCGAAAUAUGCAGGAUCUCUGCAAGUAAAGAAAAGCUGGAUUAAGAUCAUGCAGCCCUCAUACUUACAAAACCACCCAGUGCCAUCAUUUAAGUGAUCCAUACAAACAUGUGUGUCACAUACCAGCCAUUAAAUGACCCACAGGAAAUUCUCCAACCAACCAGCCAACCAACCAACGAAACCAACAAGCAAGCAAGCAAGCCUACUCAAACUUCCCAAACUCAGCAUGAGUAUCACUGUAAGGUUUGCUUGAAUAAGUUCACAUAUUUAUUAAUUCAUUUAUAAAUAUACUGCAGAGUACAGUACUGACAGAGCUGCACGACCA
rnacentral:lncRNA from 1 species